rnacentral:rRNA from 1 species
GGGUUGUGAGGUUAAGCGACUAAGCGUACACGGUGGAUGCCCUGGCAGUCAGAGGCGAUGAAGGGCGUGCUAAUCUGCGAUAAGCGCCGGUAAGGUGAUAUGAACCGUUAUAACCGGCGAUACCCGAAUGGGGAAACCCAGUGUGACUCGUCACACUAUCAUUAACUGAAUCCAUAGGUUAAUGAGGCGAACCGGGGGAACUGAAACAUCUAAGUACCCCGAGGAAAAGAAAUCAACCGAGAUUCCCCCAGUAGCGGCGAGCGAACGGGGAGGAGCCCAGAGCCUGAAUCAGCAUGUGUGUUAGUGGAAGCGUCUGGAAAGGCGCGCGAUACAGGGUGACAGCCCCGUACACAAAAGCGCAUGUGCUGUGAGCUCGAUGAGUAGGGCGGGACACGUGGUAUCCUGUCUGAAUAUGGGGGGACCAUCCUCCAAGGCUAAAUACUCCUGACUGACCGAUAGUGAACCAGUACCGUGAGGGAAAGGCGAAAAGAACCCCGGCGAGGGGAGUGAAAAAGAACCUGAAACCGUGUACGUACAAGCAGUGGGAGCCCCACCACUAAGCCAGUGGUGAACUCCACAUACGCAUCCUUUGCUGAAGGCAAUGGUUAACGGAGCGAAAGCGACGUUCAACCGCAAAACAAGCAGAGGGGGCUUAGUGGUGGGGUGACUGCGUACCUUUUGUAUAAUGGGUCAGCGACUUAUAUUCUGUAGCAAGGUUAACCGUAUAGGGGAGCCGGAGGGAAACCGAGUCUUAAUUGGGCGUUAAGUUGCAGGGUAUAGACCCGAAACCCGGUGAUCUAGCCAUGGGCAGGUUGAAGGUUGGGUAACACUAACUGGAGGACCGAACCGACUAAUGUUGAAAAAUUAGCGGAUGACCUGUGGCUGGGGGUGAAAGGCCAAUCAAACCGGGAGAUAGCUGGUUCUCCCCGAAAGCUAUUUAGGUAGCGCCUCGUGAAUUCAUCUCCGGGGGUAGAGCACUGUUUCGGCUAGGGGGCCAUCCCGGCUUACCAACCCGAUGCAAACUGCGAAUACCGGAGAAUGUUAUCACGGGAGACACACGGCGGGUGCUAACGUCCGUCGUGAAGAGGGAAACAACCCAGACCGCCAGCUAAGGUCCCAAAGUCAUGGUUAAGUGGGAAACGAUGUGGGAAGGCCCAGACAGCCAGGAUGUUGGCUUAGAAGCAGCCAUCAUUUAAAGAAAGCGUAAUAGCUCACUGGUCGAGUCGGCCUGCGCGGAAGAUGUAACGGGGCUAAACCAUGCACCGAAGCUGCGGCAGCGACACUCAGGUGUUGUUGGGUAGGGGAGCGUUCUGUAAGCCUGUGAAGGUGUGUCGUGAGGCAUGCUGGAGGUAUCAGAAGUGCGAAUGCUGACAUAAGUAACGAUAAAGCGGGUGAAAAGCCCGCUCGCCGGAAGACCAAGGGUUCCUGUCCAACGUUAAUCGGGGCAGGGUGAGUCGACCCCUAAGGCGAGGCCGAAAGGCGUAGUCGAUGGGAAACGGGUUAAUAUUCCCGUACUUGGUGUUACUGCGAAGGGGGGACGGAGAAGGCUAUGUUGGCCGGGCGACGGUUGUCCCGGUUUAAGCGUGUAGGUGUGUGUUCCAGGUAAAUCCGGUUCACUUUAACACUGAGGCGUGAUGA